rnacentral:misc_RNA from 1 species
AAAUUCUCAAAGUCAAUCUUUUGUUAAUUCAAUUGGUUGUACUUUGGACUUGGAGGUCUUUGCAGAUUAAUAAUCUGCUCCUCUUAAAUUUAUUAGCUGGAUCUCAGUAUAUGCUUGGUUCCACUCGGCGUGAUAAGUUAUCACUCGCUGAGGACACUGUAAAAAGUGGCCAGGAAAUACAGAUGAACUGCUUCUAAUAGUCUAUUAAAUUAGACAAUUAAUUUAAG